rnacentral:lncRNA from 1 species
UCACAUAUACAAAUUCAGAAAAAAAGAAGACCUAACUAACAUCUGUAGUUCAAAGUCUAAUUAUAGAAUAUUGAACAUAGUAGAAGGAACAGAGAAAUCAGAUUCAAACCCAUCUUUUAUUCAUCUAGAACUCCACUUGAAUUACAUGCUCAUCAGUCAUUCUUUACUUAUAGGCUAUAAGGUACCUGAAAAAUGAGAAGAACAAAGCAGGGUGAUCAGAGGUCGAGCAACAAUAGAAAAACAACAGAAAUCAACCUCAAAUCCAAUUUAUAAACCCCAAUUUCAAAUGAGAACCAUAAUCCAAUCACGAGUUCAACUAAAAAUCAGUUUGUGAAAACCAAAUUAACCAUAUUCAACCCCAUCGAAUCAAAUGGUGCUCCAGGAAUUCAAAAUUUUAGGAAUUAUAGGAGAAAUUUAAUGGAACAGUAAUUUUCUACUCAAAGCCUUAGCCUUUUUUGAUUUUCUGAAAUUUUC